AAUAGGCAUUCAGCGCAUGUUGGCACAAAUCUGAACGCACACAGUCCUCUUUGUUAAAGCGAAUGAUGCCGACCAUCUCGUCUUCUUCGAAGCGAGAUAAUGCAUCGCUAAGCCCUGAUACCACACCGCGCGGUAAGUCACACUGGGUGAUAUCCCCGUUAACAAUGACCGUCACGUUUUCACCAAGACGGGUC
rfam:Serratia sp. M24T3 contig07, whole genome shotgun sequence.